rnacentral:rRNA from 1 species
AUUGAACGCUGGCGGCAGGCCUAACACAUGCAAGUCGAACGAGUGGCGGACGGGUGAGUAAUGUCUGGGAAACUGCCUGAUGUAGGGGGAUAACUACUGGAAAAGGUAGCUAAUACAGCAUACCAUCAACUGUGCCCAGAUGGGCUGAGAUAGUUGGUGGGGUAACGGCUCACCAAGGCGACGAUCCCUAGCUGGUCUGAGAGGAUGACCAGCCACACGGGAACUGAGACACGGUCCAGACUCCGACGGGAGGCAGCAGUGGGGAAUAUUGCACAAUGGGCGCAAGCCGGAUGCAGCCAUGCCGCGUGUAUGAAGAAGGUCUUCGGGUUGUAAAGUACUUUCAGCGGGGAGGCGUUACCCGAAGAAGAAGCACCGGCUAACUCCGUGCCAGCAGCCGCGGUAAUAC